GGACAAAUGAUUUUUUGUGAAAAAAAAGUUUUGUCUGAGUAGGAAAAGUAUAUCCAUCCGUGUGCGUUUAGAUCUGUUAUUCAUAUUGAUAGAUUAUAUUCCAUAUGUGGAUGCACAUUGCAUAUAGAACAUAUACUCACCUUGGGUUGUUAGGUACCUGUUGUAGCUUUGCACAUCUGCUCUCCGUAAUGUUUAUUGUUGCAACGUUCAUAUGAUCAGAUGGUUAUUGAUGGUGUUAAAUGUUACUCUAAUUGAUUGCUGAAAUUGAUAGGGUUGGGAUGUGACACUGAAUUUCUCCAAGCUGCCGUAAGUUUUCCCUCACUAUUUAUUGGUUAAUUUUUCUUUCACUUUUUCCCCCCUCUUUUUCACAUUUUACUUGAUACUCUCGUUAUAUGUGAUUAAUUUUGCGUUGGUAAUAUUAGGCUUGCUGCGAGGAAGGCCAAGAAGGAAAAGAAAGUGAAAGAUCCAAACAAGCCAAAGAGGCCUCCAAGUGCUUUCUCUGGCCAAAGGUUAAUUAGACCAUUAAUCCAUUCAAUGCUAUUUCUGCUUUCAGGGAAGGGUUCAGGAAACAAUCCAAGAAAAAAAUAGCCGAAUCAAUUGUUGUUGUAAGUUCAUCAUUCUUUUUAAAUUUUCUUUGAAGCUUAAUAUUCAAGCCAGAUAUUUGCACUAGGAGCUUGCAUGAUAAUUUUCUUUAUGAUUUCUUGUUUUCCUUUUGGGAAUAAAUAAUAAUAUAGGUUGGAAAAGUUGGUGGAGCUAAGUGAAAGUCCAUGAGUGAUGAGGUAAAUAUAUGCAAUCUAAGU
rnacentral:lncRNA from 1 species